rnacentral:rRNA from 1 species
CCUACGGGAGGCAGCAGUGGGGAAUAUUGCACAAUGGGGGGAACCCUGAUGCAGCGACGCCGCGUGGGUGAAGGAGUACUUCGGUACGUAAAGCCCUAUCAGCAGGAAAGAAAAUGACGGUACCUGACUAAGAAGCCCCGGCUAACUACGUGCCAGCAGCCGCGGUAAUACGUAGGGGGCAAGCGUUAUCCGGAUUUACUGGGUGUAAAGGGAGCGUAGACGGCAAGGCAAGUCUGGAGUGAAAGCCCGUGGCCCAACCACGGGACUGCUUUGGAAACUGUGUUGCUGGAGUGCGGGAGGGGCAGGCGGAAUUCCUGGUGUAGCGGUGAAAUGCGUAGAUAUCAGGAGGAACACCGGCGGCGAAGGCGGCCUGCUGGACCGCGACUGACGUUGAGGCUCGAAAGCGUGGGGAGCGAACAGGAUUAGAUACCCCAGUAGUC